GCUGCAAGUUCUGUAGGACUGAUGGGAACACAGCUUGCAUUGCAACUGCCCUUGGGUCCCAGUGCCAAUCCUAUCUUCCCUGACAGACACUUGUGCAAGGCUGAGAGACAGCAAAGUGCGUGGAGAAGGGCAUCAAGCAGAGUUCAAAUAAGAAGGGCCCUGCAAGACAAGAAUUUCUAUGCCAGCAGGCAGAUGGGCUUCCAAACUGAGCAACUUCAAGUGCUGGUCAGCGUACUCUACUUCAUGAAGCAUGCCAUGGAGUUCUGGCCUUUGACACAGCAUCAAUGCCAGCUGUAAUGUAUAGCACUUGAGAAUGAUACCAAGUAGGAGGGAAGAUUCACUCAGAGCAUUUCUGUUUGGGUCAAGUUGGUAGUAAGUAUUGACUCAUAUGGAGUCUUUAAUCCUCUCACAAUGUAAUUUAACUACUUCAUGUUUGUGAAAAUCUGUAGAAGAUUUAAAUUCAUUACAUGCAAGAAAGUGCUUUGUAAAAGCCUAAUGUGGGCAUACAGAACUUCACCAGGAAGUCUGAAUAAAAAGAACUUGAAACUCAUGUUCUUUAACAUCCUCAGUAAAGUAUCCAUGAAGAAUUUGUGCAGGGAAGGAGAGGCACAGACUACCUGAAGUAAAAACUUCACAUAAAAGUAAGGGAAAAGGCAAAGCCACCCUCAGUCUCAUGGACUGCAAACAGGAAUUUUGAUUGAGUGCACAUAGUAUAUUAAUGAGACAAUAAAAAAUGAGUUAAGGCCUUUCUAGGCUGAAAACUGGUCUCUGUGGGGAACCUAUGGAUAUUCAGUGCAUUGCAAAAUCAGAUCCAUUUAGUCUACAUCAAACCUGGAUACUGACUUACAUCUAAAGAGAAACAGGAAGCCAAUGAAGGCAUGUAAUUAAUGUAUUAAUGUUUAAUAAAAUGACAAUAAUUUUGUUAGAUAAGUGCUAGUAAACCAGUGCAAAGUGUAAGCAGUCAUAGUAUCAAGGCAUGCAUCAAUAUUUAUUAGCACCAUGAUCAGGUAGCUAGACCUAGCAGUGCUGACAAAAGCAGACGUGAAAUUUCCCCGGAAUCAUGUUCCACUAUGGGAAUAAACAGGGUGUAUAAAAUAAAAUUUCCCAGGAAUCAUGUUCCACUAUGGGAAUAUACAGGGUGUAUAAAAUAAAGUGACAAUUGUUUGAAGAAAAGUGCUUUUUUUAAAUCAACAGUGGACAUUGCAAGAAGCAUCUGUUAUGUACUCUUUCUUCUCAAAAUGAAUGAGCUCUGUUUUCAUAUCACAAAGUGGUUGAUGUUGGAAGGGACCUGGAGGUCUUCUGGUCCAAUGACCCUGCUCAAGCAGGGCCACCUGGAACAGGUUACCCAGGGCCUUGUCAUUGUA